GACGAACGCUGGCGGCGUGCCUAAUACAUGCAAGUUGAGCGCUGAAGGUUGGUACUUGUACCCACUGGAUGAGCAGCGAACGGGUGAGUAACGCGUGGGGAAUCUGCCUUUGAGCGGGGGACAACAUUUGGAAACGAAUGCUAAUACCGCAUAAAAACUUUAAACACAAGUUUUAAGUUUGAAAGAUGCAAUUGCAUCACUCAAAGAUGAUCCCGCGUUGUAUUAGCUAGUUGGUGAGGUAAAGGCUCACCAAGGCGAUGAUACAUAGCCGACCUGAGAGGGUGAUCGGCCACAUUGGGACUGAGACACGGCCCAAACUCCUACGGGAGGCAGCAGUAGGGAAUCUUCGGCAAUGGACGAAAGUCUGACCGAGCAACGCCGCGUGAGUGAAGAAGGUUUUCGGAUCGUAAAACUCUGUUGGUAGAGAAGAACGUUGGUGAGAGUGGAAAGCUCAUCAAGUGACGGUAACUACGCAGAAAGGGACGGCUAACUACGUG
rnacentral:rRNA from 1 species